rnacentral:rRNA from 1 species
UAGUUUAAGCAUAUCAAUAAGUGGAGGAAAAAAAACUUAUCAAGAUUUCCCUAGUAAUGGUGAGUGAACUGAGAAGAGCCCAGCUUGAGAAUUGGGUGCCCCCGAUGUCCAAAUUAUAGUCUGAAGAAGCGUCCUCAGUGACAGACCAGGCCCAAGUCCCUUGGAAAAAGGCACCGAAAAAGAUGAGAGCCCUGUUGUGCCCAAACCCUAUCGCACCACAAGGCACUAUCUGUGAGUCGGGUUGUUGGGAAUGCAGCCUUAAUCAGGUGGUAAAUUUCAUCUAAGGUUGAAUACGAGUGAGAGACCGAUAGCGAACAAGUACUGCAAAGAAAAGAUGAAAAGGACUUUGAAAAAAGAGUCAAAGAGUGCUUGAAAUUGUUAGGAGAGAAGUAGAUGAGGGCUAACGAUGCACCCCGAUUGGAUGUGGAAAGAUGAGAGCUGGUUUGUCAAUCGACUCAAGGCGUGGACAUGACAAUGGGUCACGAUGACAGCCCAAGCUCGGGGCUUUCGAUGUGCCCAUGGAGACAUUGUCACCAAUGAUCAUGGAAUGCAGCACACACCAUCUUGGCAUGCCAUGGCACCGACAUGCUCCCGGUGUCUGCCUGUAGGCUCUCCAUCUGGCCCAUCUUGAAACACAGAACAAAGAGUCUGACAUACAUGCAAGUCAACGGGCCAAGAAACCCAUAAGGUGCAAAGAAGCUGAUUGGCGGGAUCUCUCACAGGUGUACCACCGACCGACCUUGAUGUUCUAAGAAGGGUUCGAGUGCGAGCAUUGCCCAUCGAGACCCGAAAGAUGGUGAACUAUGCCUGAGCGGAGUGAAGCCAGAGGAAACUCUGGUAGAGGCUCGUAGCGAUACUGAUGUUGCAAAUCGUUCGUCUGACUUAGGUAUAUGGGUGAAAGACUAAUCGAAUCGUCUAGUAGCUGGUUCCCUCUGAAGUUUCCCUCAGGAUAGCUGGAGCCCCCAAUGAGUUCUAUCGGGUAAAGCCAAUGAUUAGAGGCAUCGGGGGCACAACGCUUGACCUAUUCUCAAACUUUAAAUAGGUAAGACUACGCGGCUGCUUCGUUGAGUCGUGCCGCGAAAUCGAGAGCUCCAAGUGGGCCAUUUUUGGUAAGCAAAACUGGUGAUGCGGGAAUGAACCGAAAGUUGAGUUACGGUGCCCAACUUCCCACUAACCCAGAACCCACAAAGGGUGUUGGUCGAUUAAGACAGCAGAACGAUGGUCAUGGAAGUCCAAAAUCCACUAAGGAGUGUGUAACAACUCACUUGUCGAAUCAACUAAUCCUAAAAAUGGAUGGCGCUUAACGCAUGACUUAUACCUGGCCAUUGGGGCAAGGGCCAGGCCCCGAUGAGUAGGAGGGCAUGGUGGUCACAGCAAAACCCAGGGCACGAGCCCAGGCCAAAAGGGCCCAUCGAUGCAAAUCUUGGUGGUAGUAGCAAAUAUUCAAAUAAGAACUUUGAAGGCUGAAGAGGGGAAAGGUUCCAUGUGAACGGCAGUUGCACAUGUGUUAGUCGAUCCUAAGAGAUGGGGGAAGCCUAUUCGGUAACGCGUCCCACGUGAGCUUUGAAAGGGAAAUCAGGUUAAAUUCUUAAAUUGGGACGUGACGGCUGAUGGCAAUGUUAGGGAGUUCGAAGACGUUGGUGGGGGCCUUGGAAAGAGUUAUCUUUUCUGUUUAACGGCCCACCCACACUAGAAAGGGCUCAGUCGAGGUAGGGUCUAGAGGUCGAAGAGCACCACACAUCGCGUGAUGUUCGGUGUGCCCCGAUGACCCUUGAAAAUUUAGAGGACUGAGUGCCAUCCGGCCCGAUCGUACUCAUAAUCACAUCAGGUCUCCAAGGUGAAUAGCCUUUGGUCGAUGGAAGAAUGUAGGCAAGGAAGUCGACAAAAUGGAUCGUAACCUUGAGAAAAAGAUUGGCUCUGAGGGCUGGGCAUGAGAGUCCCAGUCCCAACCCAUCGACUAUCGGUGCACUACUCGAGCUACCCCAUGGUGAGAGCGAGUUUCGCAUGCCGACUGAGGGAUGGACUGGGAAUGACUCCUUUCGGGCCUUCCUCGAGCGAUGAACAAUUGACUCAGAACUGGUACGGACAAGGGGAAUCUAACUGCUUAAUUAAAACAAAGCAUUGAGAUGGUCCCUAUGGAUGCUCACGCAAUGUGAUUUUGUCGAGUGCUCUGAAUGUCAAAGUGAAGAAAUUUAACCAAGCGCAGGUAAACGGUGGGAGUAACUAUGACUCUCUUAAGGUAGCCAAAUGCCACAUCAUCAAAUUAGUGACACACAUGAAUGGAUUAACGAGAUUCCCACUAUCCUGUCUACUAUCCAGUAAAACCACACCAAGGGAAUGGGCUUGGCAGAAUCAACGGGGAAAAAAGACCUUGUUAAGCUUGAUGCUAGUCCGACUUUGUGAAAUGACUUGAGAAGUGUAGGAUAAGUGGGAGCCCCUAGGUGAAAUUGAAAUACCACUACUUUUAACGUUAUUUUACUUAUUUCAUGAAUCGGAGGUGAGCACGACCCCUUUUUUGGGACCCAAGGCUGGUCGCAGUCGGUCGAUCUAGGUGGAAGACAUUGUCAGGUGGAAGUUUGGCUGGGGUGGCACAUCUAUUAAAGGAUAAUGCAGGUGUCCUAAGAUGAGCUCAACGAGAACAGAAAAUCUCGUGUGGAACAAAAGGGUAAAAGCUCAUUUGAUUCUGAUUUCCAGUACGAAUAUGAAUCGUGAAAGUGUGGCCUAUCGAUCCUUUAGUCCUUCGAGAUUUGAAGUUAGAGGUGUCAGAAAAGUUACCACAGGGAUAACUGGCUUGUGGCAACCAAGCAUUCAUAGCGAUGUUGCUUUUUGAUCCUUCGAUGUCGACUCUUCUUAUCAUUGUGAAGUAGAAUUCACCAAGUGUUGGAUUGUUCACCCACUAAUAGGGAACGUGAGGUGGGUUUAGAUCAUCGUGAGACAGGUUAGUUUUACCCUAUUGAUGGCAGCGUCACGAUAGUAAUUCAACCUAGUACAAGAAGAACUGUUGAUUCACACAAUUGGUCUUCACACUUUGUUAAAAAGCCAGUGGCACGAAGCUAUCAUGCGCUGGAUUAUGAUUGAAUGUCUCUAUGUCAGAAUCUGGGCUAGAAGUGAUGUACGUGCCCACUGCCCGAUUGCCGACCAUCAGUAAGGGCCCAUGGCCCAAGGGCACAUGUCGUAGAGUGCAGCCCCUGGUGGACCAACCGUGCGGGGCCUCUUUG